rnacentral:rRNA from 1 species
GCCGCGGUAAAACCAGCACCUCAAGUGGUCAGGAGGAUUAUUGGGCCUAAAGCAUCCGUAGCCGGCUCUGUAAGUUUUCGGUUAAAUCCAUGUGCUCAACACAUGGGCUGCCGAAAAUACUGCAUAGCUAGGGAGUGGGAGAGGUAGACGGUACUCGGUAGGAAGGGGUAAAAUCCUUUGAUCUAUCGAUGACCACCUGUGGCGAAGGCGGUCUACCAGAACACGUUCGACGGUGAGGGAUGAAAGCUGGGGGAGCAAACCGGAUUAGAUACCCGGGUAGUCCCAGCUGUAAACGAUGCAGACUCGAUGAUGCAUUGGCAUAUAGCCAGUGCAGUGUCGCAGGGAAGCCGUUAAGUCUGCCGCCUGGGAAGUACGUACGCAAGUAUGAAACUUAAAGGAAUUGGCGGGGGAGCACGGUCAUA